CAGAUGAGGAAACCGACAGUCAGAGACAAGUGAGUUGCCAAGACCCACGUAGCUGGGGAGGUUUUGUCAGCAUUGAGAUUUAAGACAGGGUCUAUGUGACUCUAAGGACUUGAAUUGUCCAAAAAUGCCAUUCUUUCUAUUCUCCCUCCCCAUCUCCCCUGGGAAGCAAAAUACCCCUAUCUCUUGUGAUCCCUAUCUCCAAUUUUUGUGUGAACCCUAAGCACCUGCAGCAAAGGGUGAGUUGGCCCCACUGCCUGGGGUGCACUCCUGGCUCUGCACUGCUUUAGGGUGUAACACUGGAUACAUAGCUGAGUUUUUCUGAAUUUAACAUGAAAUACUAGCCUCAGAACUGUGUGAGGAUUAAAAAAAAGAAAGACAUACAUUUUCUUUGUGGAAAGCUUAGCAUAGUGCCUGCUACAUAGUAAUUAUUCAAUAGAUGAUAGAUAAUAUCAUUAUUGUGGAUGCUAAGCCUCAUUUUUUGGUCUCAGUUGAUUGUUAUUAAGCCAGGCUAAUGUGUUGCCUGAUGAGGCAUUGGCCUAAGUUGUAUUUGCAUUUUAGAUGGAGACACUUGAAGAUAAAAAUUUACACUGUCUUUAGAAGAGCACCCAUCUUCCUCUCUUCCCUGGGAGGGAAUAAAGAAAGAUUGGAAAAACCUUUGUGGCAGGCCAGCUGCAGGGAGGUGCAGAUACUUUUAAGUUAUGCAAAAACAAAACUCAGAAAGUUGCCAGCCACGCACAGGGCCAGUGUUAAGUGAUUUGCCACCUGUGCAGAAACCUAUACGAUACCUAGAGUAAGAGUUCCUAAGAAACCUGAGCUUUCUCAUUUGUACCCCUUGUCUCCUAUCCUGGGCCCAUAGUAAAGAAAAUAAGGACAAGCAAGAAACUAGCUCUUUGAAAUGUCAGAGUCUUAGAGGUAAGGGCCACUUGCCCAAAAGCAUUUGAAUAGCACACCCCGUCCUAGGAAGCUUAUCCCAAACCUCAUCCUCUUCAAGACCCCCUCACUGGGGAGGCUGAGUUGCCUCUGCAGGUGUCUGUGCAAAUGGGAGACCAACAAUGGUCAUUAGUUUUCAUUUGCUGAAAUCAGCAAUUUAAUCCUAACCUAACCAGAGCCUGUAACUCCCCCUUCCUGGACAAAGGCCCUCCCCGAGAAUGACUGAAUUUCACAGGGAGCAAUAAAGCAAAGGGCUUCUGCUGAAUCAGGUGCUAGACUCUCGGGCCUGUAAAUCAUCCCCCUUGGUUCUUCAGGUUGGAGAUGAUGUCUUCACCACAGCCCUCUCUUUCCUGCUAUUUCCACAACCCCAGCUACUAAGGAGAUACCCCUAGGUAGCACAUCCUUUCCAAACUGGGAACGCAGCUGGUCCUGGGUCCCCUUUCAAAACACGUGUGGCAGGAGAGUGUUCAUAUGAAAUGCAAACAUUGCAGAUUGCCCGAUCCGACUGGCCUCAAUAAAUCCAUAAGUUGUUCAUGGUUGUACAUUCAUGGAUGGUCUGAGAACAGUCAAUGUGGAAACCAGGUCAUUUAGAGGAAUUCCAGUCCAGGUGUUCUCAGAGACUCGGGCCCCUGAAUAGGAGAGCAAGGAUUGUACAAUCAAUUCUCCAGAGACCUUUCGCUUUCUGGGGUGUGUUCAGUAAAGGCAGUUGGUUAGGAUAAAGCAGAGAGCUAAUCAGUCAAGAGAUUUCCUUUAAAUGGAAGUUUUCAGAAUCUGGUGUUUAGUGAAUGUCAAGCUUGAGAAAGAGGUGAGAUUGACAGAAGCUAAGACCCUCAAAUCAGGGCUUCUCUUUUUAUCCUCAGUUUGACCUAAUAGACCGUACAUGCUAAAGCCAGUCACUCUCCUCCCUGAAGUAGGACUUGGCCUCACACAGUCAGACAGCUGCACUUGACAUCAACAGAUGAGUGCAUAAAUGAGUCAACACACUUGGCUUGACCACAUGGACUUCUGCUACCUUCUCAAGAUACACUGGUAGGAGAAGCAUUUCUGGAAAACAUCUUUGGCUCACCAAGGACAGGGAACCCCGAUUCAUCUCUUCUGGAAGUGGAGUAUUUACCAGGAUUCUUUCACACAAACCUGCUCUGUUCACAGCCCACCUGGGUUACUCAGCUUUUUGUCUCUGUGACCAAAACGUCCAACCGGAACAACUUAGAGGAGGAAGUUUAUUUUGGCUCACAGUUCCAGAGGCUCAUGGUGGACCAGCUCCAUCGCUCUGGGUUCAAGAUCAAAACAACACAGGAAGAAGUUCCAUUAAAAUGAAUGGUAGAUUUCCAGACAGCAGCAUGUGAUACUUUCCUUAGAGCAAAGGACCUUGUCGUCUGAGAAACCAACCCGCAAAAGCCCCUGGCCUAUCAGAGCCGCUGGAAAUGGCUGGAAACCCAACCACCAGAUUUGUGAACCAGAGAAAGAGGAACGAAGAUGCUCUGAAAUGCUUAUUUAGACAGUGCUAACAUAUCAAAAGAACAUUUGACACAAAUGGGGUAUCUAGUUACCAUAGAUCUUAUAAAGUUCAUUCAAAGAAUGUAAUGAAAAAAAUCAAAUAAAUGAAUCAUUCAGGGAUAUGCAAA